rnacentral:rRNA from 1 species
AUUGAACGCUGGCGGCAGGCCUAACACAUGCAAGUCGAGCGGGGUUUUCGGACCUAGCGGCGGACGGGUGAGUAAUGCGUAGGAAGCUGCCCGAUAGAGGGGGAUACCAGUUGGAAACGACUGUUAAUACCGCAUAAUGUCUACGGACCAAAGUGUGGGACCUUCGGGCCACAUGCUAUCGGAUGCGCCUACGUGGGAUUAGCUAGUUGGUGAGGUAAUGGCUCACCAAGGCGACGAUCUCUAGCUGGUUUGAGAGGAUGAUCAGCCACACUGGAACUGGGACACGGUCCAGACUCCUACGGGAGUCAGCAGUGGGGAAUAUUGGACAAUGGGCGCAAGCCUGAUCCAGCCAUGCCGCGUGUGUGAAGAAGGCCUUCGGGUUGUAAAGCACUUUCAGCGAGGAGGAAGGGGUGUGUGUUAAUAGUACACACCUUUGACGUUACUCGCAGAAGAAGCACCGGCUAACUCUGUGCCAGCCGCCGCGGUAAGAC